rnacentral:rRNA from 1 species
UAGUCCACGCUGUAAACGAUGAUCACUCGAUAUUGGCGAUAAACUGUCAGUGUCUAAGCGAAAGUGAUAAGUGAUCCACCUGGGGAGUACGAUCGCAAGGUUGAAACUCAAAGGAAUUGACGGGGGCCCGCACAAGCGGUGGAGCAUGUGGUUUAAUUCGAUGAUACGCGAGGAACCUUACCAGGGCUUAAAUGCAGAACGACCGCUUGGGAAACCAGGCUUUCUUCGGACGGUUUGCAAGGUGCUGCAUGGUUAUCGUCAGCUCGUGCCGUGAGGUGUCGGGUUAAGUCCCAUAACGAGCGCAACCCCUAUCUUUAGUUGCUAACAGGUUAAGCUGAGGACUCUAGAGAAACUGCCGGCGUAAGCCGCGAGGAAGGUGGGGAUGACGUCAAAUCAUCACGGCCCUUACGUCCUGGGGCCACACACGUGCUACAAUGGUCGGUACAGAGGGGCAGCUACCCCGCGAGGGGGAUGCGAAUCUCUAAAGCCGGGUCUCAGUUC